rnacentral:rRNA from 1 species
CCUACGUGUGGCAGCAGUGGGGAAUAUUGCACAAUGGGGGGAACCCUGAUGCAGCGACGCCGCGUGAGUGAAGAAGUAUUUCGGUAUGUAAAGCUCUAUCAGCAGGGCAGAAAAUGACGGUAACUGACUAAGAAGCCCAGGCCAACUACGUGCCAGCAGCCGCGGCAAUACGUAGGGGGCAAACGUUAUCCGGAUUUACUGGGUGUAAAGGGAGAGUAGACGGUUUUGCAAGUCUGAAGUGAAAGCCCAAGGUUCACCCAUGGGACUGCUUUGGAAACUGUCAAACUGGAGUGCAGGAGAGGUAAGCGGAAGUCCUAGUGUAGCUGGGAAAUGCGUAGAUAUUAGUAUGAGCACCAGUGGCGAAGUCGGCUUACUGGACUGUAACUGACGUUGAGGCUCGAAGGCGUGGGGAGCAAACAGGAUUAGAUACCCUAGUAGUC